ACUGUUGGUGGAGUUCACAGCACAUCAGAUUCACCAUAAACCAUGUUCUCUGUAGCUCUGCUGCUGCUGUUGGUAGCUGGAUCCUCAGGUGUGAAGUGUGAACAGCUGACACAGCCAGCCUCUGUGACUGUGCAGCCAGGUCAACGUCUGACCAUCACCUGUCAGGUCUCUUAUUCUGUGGGCAGCUACUACACAGCCUGGAUCAGACAACCUGCAGGGAAAGGACUGGAGUGGAUUGGAAGCAGACGACAUGGAGGGGACACAUACUACAAAGAUUCACUGAAGAACAAGUUCAGUAUCGACUUAGACUCUCCCAGCAACACAGUGACUCUAAAUGGACAGAAUGUGCAGCCUGAAGACACUGCUGUGUAUUAUUGUGCCAGAGACCCACAGUAA